rnacentral:tRNA from 1 species
GCCGAUCUAGCUCAGUGGCAGAGCAGCGGUUUCGUAAACCGCAGGUCGUGGGUUCAAUCCCCAUGGUCGGCU